rnacentral:rRNA from 1 species
UACGGGGGGAGCAAGCGUUGUUCGGAUUUACUGGGCGUAAAGGGCGCGUAGGCGGCCACCGCAAGUCGAUUGUGAAAUCUCCGGGCUUAACCCGGAAAGGUCAACCGAUACUGCGGGGCUAGAGUGCAGAAGGGGCAACUGGAAUUCUCGGUGUAGCGGUGAAAUGCGUAGAUAUCGAGAGGAACACCUGCGGCGAAGGCGGGUUGCUGGGCUGACACUGACGCUGAAGUGCGAAAGCGUGGGGAGCGAACAGG